UACGUAGGGUGCAAGCGUUGUCCGGAAUUAUUGGGCGUAAAGAGCUUGUAGGCGGUUUGUCGCGUCUGCCGUGAAAAUUCGAGGCUCAACCUCGAACUUGCGGUGGGUACGGGCAGACUAGAGUGUGGUAGGGGAGACUGGAAUUCCUGGUGUAGCGGUGAAAUGCGCAGAUAUCAGGAGGAACACCGAUGGCGAAGGCGGGUCUCUGGGCAGUAACUGACGCUGAGGAGCGAAAGCGUGGGGAGCGAACAGG
rnacentral:rRNA from 1 species